CGAGCGUUGUCCGGAGUUACUGGGCGUAAAGGGUGCGCAGGCGGCCUGGCGCGUCGCGCGUGAAAUCUCCUGGCUCAACUGGGAGGGUGGUCGCGAGACGGCUGGGCUUGAGGCUCGGUGAGGGGCGUGGAAUUCCGGGUGGAGCGGUGAAAUGCGUAGAGAUCCGGAGGAACACCGACGGCGUAGGCAGCGCCCUAGACGAGACCUGACGCUCAGGCACGAAAGCGCGGGGAGCGAACAGG
rnacentral:rRNA from 1 species